rnacentral:rRNA from 1 species
UACGUAGGGCGCAAGCGUUGUCCGGAAUUAUUGGGCGUAAAGAGCUCGUAGGUGGCUUGUCGCGUCUGCCGUGAAAGCCCAUGGCUUAACUGUGGGUCUGCGGUGGAUACGGGCAGGCUGGAGGCUGGUAGGGGCAAGCGGAAUUCCUGGUGUAGCGGUGAAAUGCGCAGAUAUCAGGAGGAACACCGGUGGCGAAGGCGGCUUGCUGGACCAGUACCGACGUUCAGGCACGAAAGCGUGGGGAGCAAACAGG